CAUAGGAAUUAGUGUUUGGGUAUUCUUUUUACAGGUUAAAAUUCCUAUGAAAUCAUAAUUCCAUAGGAAUUUUACAAAGUGGGGGAACACAAAUUUUUUUUCCUUUGUUUUUCAUGUGGGUGCUACGAACAAGUGUCAAGGGCUUUCAUUUGGGAUUGGCCGCCAAGCUUCUUCGUCCGUCUCCCACUCCCUCCGCCUCCAUCUUCUCCCCCGGUUGGAUCCCGACGGUGAAACUGUGCCCAUUGAAGAAGUAGUCCAAGGAUAGUGGAGUUGGAGUUCGUGCAUCGUCCAGCUUCUUCAUCGGCGCUAGUCCUUCCUAUAACCUGGCUGAUAUUUGAUAGGAAUAGGAAAAUCUCAAGAUUGCUCUCUAGCUCAUCUCAGAAUCACACUGUGUUCUUCCUCCUUGAUCUUCCUCGCCAUUGGGUGUUCAAGCGCUCUCCCCAAGCGCCCAUUUCCUCAUUCAGCCAUCCGAUCCCCCUUGCAAGAAUUGAUAGAAUUUCUUUUGGUUGCAUAGAUAGCAACUCAAGAAAAGACCGACACAAGGGCCAAAUUUAAUAAAAAUCAUAAGGCUCAUCUAGUAAAAUUGUUGGGUGAUUAUAACGUUCCAGUGUACCACUCACAAAAUGGAUGGACUAAAGAAGCAUGGAAUAAAAUAUUGCGUGAUAUGAUAACGAAAUUCCCUAAUUUAAAAUGCACAGUUGUACAAGUUAAAGCAUUAGAACAAGAGCUAAAAAAAUUUACAAGAUUCUAAAAGGGUUUAUCGAAUUAAGUGGCUUUGGAUGGGGUUAUGAAAAAAAUAUGGUAGAAGCCGCUGAAGAAGUUUGGGCACCACUACUUGAGAGAAAUAAAGAAGCUAGAAGGUGGCAUCAAAAACCCUUUCUAUAUUUUACAACACUGCAGGAGAUUUAUGAGGGGAGAUAUGCAGAAGGAAGACGCUCUCAUGAUGUAGAUUAUUAUGCAAAUGUACCAAUGGACACUCCAUCUCCAAGCAUUCCGGCUCCAAAUGAUCCCAUCCAAUCAUUGUCUACACCCGAAAUAGAGACAGAAUCCUGAUUUUACACAAGUAGAGCCUCCAUGCAGUCAACCAAAUAUUUCACAACCCCAAAACUCAUGUAGUGCAAGCCGGCAAAGGUUAGGAGAUGAAGUGCAAAGAAGAAAAAAAGACCGAAAGCGAAAAAAUGUUCAAGAGUCAUUCUUAGAACAAUAUAUAGAUAUACGUCGAGCUGAGAUGGACAUAAAUAUUGAUGCUGUGAAAAUUAACUCAGGAGAGGAGAAGUACACCAUAGGAGAAUGCAUGGCGGCAUUUAAUGUGUUGUGUGAUCAAUUUCCAGAUAAAAUUUUUGUUAAAAUUACAAUAUUGUUUAAAGAUAAGGACAAUGGUGAAAUCUUCUUCAGUCUCAUCAAUGAAGAACAGAAAGUGUUGUGGCUUAGGUAAAUGAUUAAUUAAAAACAAUGUUAUGUUCUAUGUUUUUUAUAUUUAGUUACAUGUAAACCGUUUUGGUUUAUGUAAGACGUUAUGUUUAAAUGACUUGAAUCUUUUAUGUAAGACAUUAUGUUUAUGAGA